UACGUAGGUGGCAAGCGUUGUCCGGAUUUACUGGGCGUAAAGAGCGCGCAGGCGGUCGUUCAAGUCGCGUGUGAAAGCCCCCGGCUCAACUGGGGAGGGUCACGCGAUACUGAUCGACUCGAAGGCAGGAGAGGGAAGUGGAAUUCCCGGUGUAGUGGUGAAAUGCGUAGAUAUCGGAAGGAACAUCAGUGGCGAAAGCGACUUCCUGGACCAGUACCGACGUCAGGCACGAAAGCGUGGGGAGCAAACAGG
rnacentral:rRNA from 1 species